UACGUAGGUGGCAAGCGUUAUCCGGAAUUAUUGGGCGUAAAGAGCGCGCAGGUAGUUAAUUAAGUCUGAUGUGAAAGCCCACGGCUUAACCGUGGAGGGUCAUUGGAAACUGGUUGACUUGGGUGCAGAAGAGGGAAGUGGAAUUCCAUGUGUAGCGGUGAAAUGCGUAGAGAUAUGGAGGAACACCAGUGGCGAAGGCGGCUUCCUGGUCUGCAACUGACACUGAGGCGCGAGAGCGUGGGGAGCAAACAGG
rnacentral:rRNA from 1 species